UUGAACGCUGGCGGCAUGCUUUACACAUGCAAGUCGAGCGGCAGCGCGGGGGCAACCCUGGCGGCGAGCGGCGAACGGGUGAGUAAUGCAUCGGAACGUAUCCUCGAGUGGGGGAUAACCCAGCGAAAGUUGGGCUAAUACCGCAUGAGCUCUGAGGAGGAAAGCGGGGGACCUGCGAGGGCCUCGCGCUGGAGGAGCGGCCGAUGUCCGAUUAGCUAGUUGGUGGGGUAAAGGCUUACCAAGGCGACGAUCGGUAGCUGGUCUGAGAGGAUGAUCAGCCACACUGGGACUGAGACACGGCCCAGACUCCUACGGGAGGCAGCAGUGGGGAAUUUUGGACAAUGGGGGCAACCCUGAUCCAGCCAUGCCGCGUGAGUGAAGAAGGCCUUCGGGUUGUAAAGCUCUUUCGGACGGAACGAAAUGGGCGGGACUAAUACUCCUGUCUGAUGACGGUACCGUAAGAAGAAGCACCGGCUAACUACGUG
rnacentral:rRNA from 1 species